rnacentral:rRNA from 1 species
CGCGUAGGUGGCUUGUCAGGUCUGAUGUGAAAUUUCGGGGCUCAACCCCGAACCUGCAUCGGAAACCGGCUUGCUAGAGUCUGGGAGAGGAGAGUGGAAUUCCUGGUGUAGCGGUGAAAUGCGUAGAUAUCAGGAGGAACACCGGUAGCGAAGGCGGCUCUCUGGAACAGUACUGACGCUGAGGCGCGAAAGCUAGGGGAGCGAACA